UACGGAGGGUGCAAGCGUUAAUCGGAAUUACUGGGCGUAAAGCGCGCGUAGGCGGUCUGUUGAGUCAGCUGUGAAAGCCCAGGGCUUAACCUUGGAAUUGCAGUUGAUACUGGCAGACUAGAGUACAGUAGAGGUGAGUGGAAUUUCCUGUGUAGCGGUGAAAUGCGUAGAUAUAGGAAGGAACAUCAGUGGCGAAGGCG
rnacentral:rRNA from 1 species